rnacentral:rRNA from 1 species
GAUGAACGCUGGCGGCGUGCUUAACACAUGCAAGUCGAACGGAAAGGCUCCUGCUUGCAGGGGUACUCGAGUGGCGAACGGGUGAGUAACACGUGGGUGAUCUGCCCUGCACUUCGGGAUAAGCCUGGGAAACUGGGUCUAAUACCGGAUAGGACGAUGGUUUGGAUGCCAUUGUGGAAAGUUUUUCGGUGUGGGAUGAGCUCGCGGCCUAUCAGCUUGUUGGUGGGGUAAUGGCCUACCAAGGCGUCGACGGGUAGCCGGCCUGAGAGGGUGUACGGCCACAUUGGGACUGAGACACGGCCCAGACUCCUACGGGAGGCAGCAGUGGGGAAUAUUGCACAAUGGGCGCAAGCCUGAUGCAGCGACGCCGCGUGGGGGAUGACGGCCUUCGGGUUGUAAACUCCUUUCGCUAGGGACGAAGCGCAAGUGACGGUACCUGGAGAAGAAGCACCGGCUAACUACGUG